CCUACGGGAGGCAGCAGUGAGGAAUAUUGGUCAAUGGCCGGAAGGCUGAACCAGCCAUGCCGCGUGAAGGUCAGUGCUCUAUGGGCGUUAAACUUCUUUUGUGCGGGAGCAAUAAUGGUCACGUGUGGCCAGACGAGAGUACCGUAUGAAUAAGGAUCGGCUAACUCCGUGCCAGCAGCCGCGGUAAUACGGGGGAUGCAAGCGUUAUCCGGAUUUAUUGGGUUUAAAGGGUGCGUAGGCUGUGAGGUAAGUCAGCGGGGAAAUGCCCCCGCUCAACGGGGUGAAGGGCCAUUGAUACUGCCUGGCUGGAAUGCGGAUGCGGUAGGAGGAAUGUGUGGUGUAGCGGUGAAAUGCAUAGAUAUCACACAGAACAUCGAUUGCGAAGGCAUCUAACGAAUCCGCGAUUGACGCUGAUGCACGAAAGCGUGGGUAUCAAACAGGAUUAGAUACCCCUGUAGUC
rnacentral:rRNA from 1 species